UGGAAACCCUUGUGCUCAUGGGCCUGGUCUCAAGACACAUUCAGCUGUUGGGGAUCAGAGGCUGCACUCACCGUAGCAGAGAGGCAGGACCAACUGGGAGAGGGUCCUUCUGUGACACCUACUGCAUCACCAGGCUGUGUGAAGUGACUCAGCUGCCAGAACUCACACAAUAUCAUUCUACACAAAAACCUCACGGGAAAAAUGCUCCAUGACCCUCAGACUUAAACAACAGCACUGGCUCCUCUCCAGAUCUCCAGCUCCCUGACCCUCAAACUCCAACUGCAGCACCAGCUCCACCCCGGGUCUCCAGCUCCACGAUCCUCAAACUACAACAGCAGCACCAGCUCCCUGGUGGAUCUCCAGCUCAAUGACUCUCAGACUUGGGAGGUGGCACCGGCUCCCAACCAAGGCUCCAGCUCCACAAACCUCAAACUAGAACAGCAGCACCAGCUACUCCCUGGGUCUCCAGCUCCCUGAAACUUUAACUAUAGCACUGGCUCUUCCCCGGGGCCACCAGCUCCACAACCCUCAACUUACACAGUGGUAGCACCAGCCCCUCCCUAGGUCUCCAGCUCCACGACCAUCAAACUUGAACUGCAACAUCAGCUCCUCUUCAGCCUCCAGCUCCACAAUCCUCCAACAACAACAGCAACACUGGCUCCUCCCUGAAUCUCCAGCUCAACAACUCACAGACUUGAGAGGCAGCACCGGCACCUCCCCAAGGCUCCAGCUCCAUGACCGUCAGAUUUGAACAGUGGUAACACCAGCUCCUUUCCAGGUCUCCAGCUUCACUAUCCUUAAACUAGAACAGCAGCAACGCUGCCUCCCUGGGUUUCCAGCUCCAUGACCCUAAGACAUGAAUGAAAGAACCGGGUCACCCCAGCACUCCAACUCCAAGACCCACAAAUUUGAACGGCAGCACUGGCUCUUCCCGGGAUCUCCAGCUCCGCGGCCCUCAAACUAGAUCAGCAGCACCGGCUCCUCUCUGGUUCUCCGGCUCCACAAUCCUCAGACACGAACAAUAGUACCAGCUCCUCCUUGGGUCUCCAACUUCACUACCCUCAGGCUAGAACAGCAACACCGGUUCUUCCGUGGAUCUCCAGCUCUACAAUCCUCAGACAUGAACAGCAGCAGCACCGGCUCCCACCCUUGUCUCCACUUCCAUGACCCUCAAACUACAACAGCAGUACCGGCCUCUCCCCAGGUCUCCAGAUACACGACCCUCAAAAUACAAUGGCAUCAUAGGCUCCCUCCUGGGUCUCCAGCUCCCAAACCCUCAAACUUCGAUUGACACACUGGAUUCUCUCCACAGCUAAACAGCAGCAUGGGCUGUCCCCCAAAGCUCCAGAUCUACGAACCUCUGACUUAAGUGGCGGUAGCACCGGCUCCUCCCCAGGUCUCAGGCUCCACGACCCUCACACUAGACACCAAGACCUACCUCCUCCCUGCUCUCCAGCUACACGACCCUCAGACUUGAACAGUAGUGGCUCCUCCCUUUACCUCAAGCCCCAUUACCCUCAGACUUGAACAACAGCAACACCAGCUCCCCUCCAGGGCUCCAGCUCGAGGACCCACAGAUUUAAAAAGCAGCACCGGCUCUUCCCGUGACCUCCAGCUCCACUAACCUCAAACUAGAACAGCAGCAUCGGCUCCUUCUUGGGUCUCCAGCUUCACUACCCUCAGGCUAGAAUAGCAACACUGGUUCCUCCCUGGGUCUCCAGCUCAACGACUCUCAGAUUUGAAAAGCAGCACUGGCUCCUCACAAAGUUUCUGGCUCCAAGGCCCUCAAACUAGAAUAGCAGCAGCUGCUGCACCCUGGGUCUCCAACUCCACAACCCUCAAAGUAGAAAAGCAGCCCUGGCUCUUCCCCAGGUCUCCAGCUCCUCGAGUCUGAGGGUUGUAGACCUGGAGACCCAGGGAGGAGUCAGUGCUGCUGUUCUAGUUUGAGAGUCGUGGAUCUGGAGACCCAGGGUGGAGCCGGUGCUGCUGUUCUAGUGUGAGGGUCAUGGAGCUGGAAGACCCCGGGAGGAUCUGCUGCUGCUGUCCUAGUUUGAAGGUCAUGGAGCUGGAGACCCAGGAAGGAGCCAUUUGAACAGCAGCACUGGCCCCUCCCCAGGUCUCAGGCUCCACGACCCUCAGACUUAAAAAGCCGUAGUAUGGACUUCUCCCUGGGGCUUCAGCUCUACAACACUCAGACAUGAACAGCAGCAGCACCGGCUCCUCCCCAUCUCCAGUUCCAUGACCCUCAAACUACAACAUCAGUACCAGCCUCUCCCCUGGUCUCCAGAUCCAUGACCCUCAAAAUAGAAUGGCAUCACUGGCUCCUCCCUGGGUCUCCAGCUCCCAAACCCUCAAACUUCAACUGACACACCGGAUCCUCCCCACAGUUAAACAGCAGCAUGGGCCGUUCCCCAAAGCUCCAGAUCCAUGACCCUCUGACUUAAAUGGCGGUAGCACCGGCUCCUCCCUAGGUCUCCAGUUCCGUGACCCUCAAACUACACAGCAGCACCGGCUCCUCCCCAUGUCUACAGCUCCACCACCCUCACACUAGACACCAAGACUACCUCCUCCCCGCUCUCCAGCUACAGGACCCUCAGACUUCAACAGCAGCAGUGGCUCCUCCCUAGGUUUCCAGCUCCAUGACCCUCAACCUGCAACAGCAGCACGGGCUCUUCCCUGUACCUCAAGCCCCAUGACCCUCUGACUUGAACAACAGCAACACCAGCCACCCCCAGGUCUCCAGCUCCACAACCCUCAGCCUUAAACAACAGCAGCACCAGCUCCUCCCUGGGUCUCCAGCUCCACAACCCUCAGCCUUAAACAACAGGAUCACCAGCUCCUCCCUGUGUCUCCAGCUCCACACCCCUCAGACUAGAACAGCACCCCUCCUCCCUGAGUCUCCAGCUCCAUGACCCUCAAACGACAACAGCAACACAGGCUCCUCCCUGGAUCUCCAGCUCAACAACUCUCAGACUUGAGAGGCAGCACCGGCAACUCCCCAAGGCUCUGGCUCCAUGACCCUCAGAUUUGAAUAAUGGUAGCACCACCUGCUAUCCAGGUCUCCAGCUUCAUGAUCCUUAAACUAGAACAGCAGCACCGCUGCCUCCCUGGAUUUCCAGCUCCACGACCCUAAGACAUAAAUGGUAGAACCAGCUCCCCACGAGGGUUCCAGCUCCAGGACCCACAGAUUUAAAUGACAGCACCGGCUCUUCCCGGGAUCUCCAGCUCCACUACCCUCAAACUAGAACCGCAGCACCGGCUCCUCCCUGGGUCUCCAGCUCCCAAACCUUCAAACUUCAACUGACACACAGGAUCCUCUCCACAGUUAAACAGCAGCACGGGCUGUUCCCCAAAACUCCAGAUCCACAACCUUCUGACUUAAAUGGCGGUAGCACUGGCUCCUCCCUAGGUCUCCAGUUCCAUGACCCUCAAACUACACAGCAGCAUCGGCUCCUCCCCAGGUCUACAGCUCCACCACCCUCAUACUAGACAGCAAGACUACCUCCUCCCCGCUCUUCAGCUACACAACCCUCAGACUUGAACAGCAGCAGCGGCUCCUCCCUGUACCUCAAGCCCCAUGACCUCAGAUUUGAAAAACAACACCACCAGCUACUGCCUAGGGCUCCAGCUCCAGGAUCCACAGAUUUAAACAACAGCACUGGCUCUUCCCAGGAUCUCCAGCGCCACUACCCUUAAACUCCUCUCUGGUUCUCCAGCUCCACAACACUCAGGCAUGAACAGCAGCACCCACUCCUCCUUGGGUCUCCAACUUCACUACCCUCAGACUAGAACAGCAACAUUGGAUCUCCAGCUCAAUGACUCUCAGACUUGAAAGGCAGCACCAACUCCUCCGUGGAUCUCCAGCUCCAGGACACUCAAAACAACAUGGCUCCUCCCUGGGUCUGCAGCUCCAGGACCCUCGAACUACAACAACAUUGUUCCUCCCUGGGUCUGUGGCUCCAUGAUCCUCAAACUAGAACAAGACCUCUCCUCCCUGGGUUGCCAGCUUCCUGACCCUAGAACCACAACAUUGCUCCUCCCUGGGUCUGCUGCUCCACGACCCUCACACUACAACAAGACCUCUCCUCCCUGGGUCUCCAGCUUCCGGACCCUCAAAUUACAACAACAUUGCUCCUGCCUGAGUCUGCAGCUCCAUGACCCUCAAAUAAGAACAAGACCUCUCCUCCCUGGGUCUCCAGCUUCCUGACCCUUGAACUACAACAACAUUGCUCCUGCCUGGGUCUGCAGCUCCACAACCCUCAAACUACAACAAGACCUCUCCUCCCUGGGUCGCCAGCUUCCAGACUCGAACUACAACAUUGCUCCUCCCUGGAUCUGUAGCUCGAUGACCCUCAGCUAGAACAAGACCUCUUUCCCCUGGUUCACCAGCUUCUGGACCCUCAAACUAAAACAACAUUGCUCCUGCCUGGGUCCGCAGCUCCACGACCCUCAAACUCAAACAAGACCUCUCCUCCCUGAGUCACCAGCUUCCUGACCCUCAAACUAUAACAACAUUGCUCCUGCCUGGGUCUGCAGCUCCAUGACCCUCAAACUAGAACAAAACCUCUGCUCCCUGUGUUGCCAGCUUCCUGACCCUCAAACUACAACAAAAUUGCUCCUCCCUGGGUCGGCAGCUCCAUGACCCUCAAACUAGAACUAAACCUCUGCUCCCUGUGUCACCAGCUUCCAGACCCUCGAAUUACAACAUUGCUCCUGCCUGGGUCUGCAGCUCCACGACCCUGAAACUAAAACAAGAUCUCUCCUCCCUGAGUCACCAGCUUCCUGACCCUUGAACUACAACAUUGCUCCUGCCUCGGACUACAGCUCCAUGAUCCUCAAACUAGAAAAAACCUCUCCUCCCUGAGUCGCCAGCUUCCUGACCCUCAAACUACACCAACAUUGCUCCUCCGUGGGUCUGCAGCUCCACGACUCUCAAACUACAACAAGACCUCUCCUCCCUGGGUCUCCAGCUUCCGGACUCUCAAAUUACAGCAACAUUGCUCCUGCCUAGGUCUGCAGCUCCACGACCCUCAAAUAACAACGAGACCUCUCCUCCCUGGGUCGCCAGCUUCCAGACUCGAACUACAACACUGCUCCUCCCUGGAUCUGUAGCUCGACGACCCUCAAAUAGAACAAGACCUAUUUUCCCUGGUUCGCCAGCUUCCGGACCCUCAAACUAAAACAACAUUGCACCUGCCUGUAUCUGCAGCUCCACGACCCUCAAACUCAAACAAGACCACUCCUCCCUGGGUUGCCAGCUUCCUGACCCUCAAACUACAACAAAAUUGCUCCUCCCUGGGUCUGCAGCUCCAUGACCCUCAAACUAGAACUAAACCUCUCUUCCCUGAGUCACCAGCUUCCUGACCCUCGAACUAUAACAACAUUGCUCUUGCCUGGGUCUGCAGCUCCAGGACCCUCAAACUAGAACUAAACCUCUCUUCCCUGAGUCACCAGCUUCCUGACCCUCGAAUUACAACAACAUUGCUCCUGCCUGAGUCUGCAGCUCCACGACCCUGAAACUAGAACAAGAUCUCUCCUCCCUGAGUCACCAGCUUCCUGACCCUUGAACUACAACAUUGCUCCUGCCUCGGACUACAGCUCCACGACCCUCAAACUAGAAAAAACCUCUCCUCCCUGAGUCGCCAGCUUCCUGACCCUUGAACUACAACA